UGGGGCACAGCAUGAACUGCCCUUUUUCUUCUCACUUGAAUCCUUCAUCUUCUUUGCAUUUUCAUCAUGCUUUCCCUCUUCUUCAGGGAACACAUCAUUUGCAGCGGGCAAUUUGAAGCAACUCUGCACAAAUCCGAAUACACCCAUUUUGGAGAAUUAUAUUUAUACAGACGUUGAAGAUAGAGAUGAGAUGUAUUCCUCCAUCAUCAUCAUUUCGUUUAAAUUGCGUGGAAUGCACGCCAAGUUACAACAAGUAGAGGCCGUCAUGGAAUGCACGCCAAGUAGAAGCCGUCAACAAUUAAGCUGCCCACGUUUAUUGUGGGUAAUAACGAAGAAUUUUCCAGAAUAACAUUUGACUGAUAAAUGGUUUAAUUAUGCUGUUUGGUCAAACUGAUAAGCCCCGCAAUGAAUAAAUAACAAACAUGAGCAGAUUCGGCCGCAUU